UACGUAGGUGGCGAGCGUUAUCCGGAAUGAUUGGGCGUAAAGGGUGCGCAGGCGGUCCUGCAAGUCUGAAGUGAAAGGCGGGGGCCCAACCCCCGGACCGCUUUGGAAACUGUAUAGCUGGAGUGCAGGAGAGGUAAGUGGAAUUCCUAGUGUAGCGGUGAAAUGCGUAGAUAUUAGGAGGAACACCAGUGGCGAAGGCGGCUUACUGGACUGUAACUGACGUUGAGGCUCGAAGGCGUGGGGAGCAAACAGG
rnacentral:rRNA from 1 species